rnacentral:rRNA from 1 species
AUGGACUCCUGCCUGCUGCACCCUUAUCCACAGCCGCUCCCUCUUCCUCCCUCCAAUCCCACCUCCCAGCGUGCCCACCUCAAAUGGGCCCCAUGCUGCCGGCGCCGUCGCCGCCAUCUCCUCCGGCGCGUGGCUGUCUCCGCGCUCACCUUACAGGAACAACUCGCGCCAACCAACCCAACAACCUCCGAGAGACCGAAGAACCCCCGUAGGCCGUUCGACGGAAUGCAGGAGAGGACCGUCGCGACUUCCAACACGGCGGGCAACCUGUUCGACGAAAUGCCUCGCCCGAGCGGCGAGGGCGCGAGCGUACGUGGUCCACCUGGGAGCGGCGAGAAGAGCGCUAGCUCGGCGAUCCUGGCGCUGGCGCACGCCAGCAGGCACGCGGAGGUCCUCGAGCUCUUCUGCAGGAUGCGGCGGGACGGACUGCCGGUCAGCAAGUUCAUGCUGCCCAGCGUCCUCAAAGCCUCUGCGCGCCUCCAGGACAGCAGGAUGCUCCGGGCCGCGCAUGCCGUGGUCAUCAAGUGCGCCCUGUGCCAGCAUGUCGUCGUGGGCACCGCGCUGGUCAGCGCGUACGUUGAUUUCGGGCUGAUGGAUGAUGCGGGCAACGCGUUCGCUCAGAUGGACGAGGCCAACAUGGUCUCCUGGAGCGUGAUCAUCGGAGGCUAUGUCCGUUCUUGUCGGUGGGACGAGGCAUGGGGUGCUUUCUCCGCAAUGCAGCGUGCUGGGGUGCUUCCGGCUGAUUCAGUUCUUGUGAUGGCAAUUCAGGCGUGCAGUGCGUUGUUGUGCCUGGUUCGCGGGAAGCAGCUGCACGGGUUGGCGGUCGCCCUCGGAUUUGGAAGGAACACCACCGUCUGGAACUGCCUCAUUGACAUGUAUGGGAAGUGUGGUGACAUGGAUAGUUGCAGGGCAGUUUUUGAGACAAUGGUAGACAGGGAUCAAGUGAGUUGGAAUACCAUCAUCUCAAGCUAUGUUCGUCUUGGUUUCUGUGAAGAGGCACUCGACAUGGUCAUCCAGAUGCAGCAAUGUGGUUUCACCGUUGAUCGAUUCACCCUUGGCAGUGGAGUCGCAGCUUGUGCCCAUUUGGCUGACAUUGACAGUGGCAGUGCAUUCCAUGGUUAUUUGAUAAGAAGAGCAUUAGACACUGAUGCUAUCCGGGGCAGCGCACUCGUUGACAUGUACGGGAAAUGUGGUUUGAUGGAGCAUGCUCGAUUGGUAUUUGACAGAAUGGAUGAAAGGAAUUAUGUAGCCUGGGAUGCACUCUUGUCUGGCUACGUUGAAAAUGGGCAGGUCGACUUGGCACUCAAGGUUUUCCGACAAAUGGAGUCUGCAAACAUAAAGCCUAACCAGCAUACCUUUGUGAACCUUCUUAAGCUUUGUGGCAACAGAAGGUAUACAGAGUAUGGAAGGCAAAUCCAUGCCCAUGCCAUCAAGGCCAUACACCAGAUGAAUGUGGUUCUGGAAACUGAGCUGAUCGACAUGUACGCAAAGUGUGGCUGCAUUGAGGUUGCCCGGCUACUGUUCCUUAGGAUGAACGAGAGGAACCUGAUAUCCUGGAACGCUCUCCUCUCAGGUUAUGUAGGGGAUGGACAACCAGGUGCGUCGAUAAACAUUUACCGCCAAAUGGAGCUGGCCUGCAUCAGGCCUGACCAGUACACCUUGGCAGGGCUUCUAAGCCUUUGCCGGUACCAAGGGCUUUUGCGCUACGGAAGGCAGAUACAUGCUCAUGUCAUUAAGAUAGGCUCUGAGACAAAUGUGGUGCUGCAAACUUUACUUGUGCAUAUGUACGUCAGGUGUAGGCAGUGGCGAGAUGCUGAAAAUGUCUGUGCGAUGAUCCAAGAGAGGAACUUUUAUGUGAAUGAUGCGUUCUCGAAGGUCUAUGGAGAUGGGUACUUCAUCUGA